AUACAAAAAUUAAUAAAACAUAACUCUUUAUAUUUUAUUUAGGAUUGUCGUUCACGAAAACUUUGGUCGGUUUGGGGUGAACGACUUCUUUUUUUAUUUGUGU
rnacentral:antisense_RNA from 14 species